GCAGCUUACUAAAGAAAAGAAACUCUUCCACUCUGAAGGGUUUUCUUUGAUUCUUCCGUUAUUAUGUCCUUUGAUAUUAUUAUUUUUUCCUUUUUAUUCUGUUUUUGGUUCUUUGAUGAGAAAAUGCUUGCGGUUCUUACUACCGAUUUGAAAAUGUGUCCAGUGCUGCCUCCAUUAAUCCUCUAUCAUGAAACUCUUUUGGGCAAAACUUGUCAGCGUCCUCAUGCCAUUAGUUACCCAUUAUGUAGUCAUAGAGAUGCAGGGGGAAACGGUUUGGUGUUUUCAACCUGACUGGAGAGCUGCUUGCCUUUAAAGGCAUCUGAGUGGGAAAAGAGCCUGAGAUGGUGAUUCGAAGGCCUGAAAAGCAUUUAUAUGGAUUUGAUGUUGGGUCCAGAGAGCAUAAGUGUGGAUUUGCAGCAUGAGAGGAGCAAAUUGUAGCUAGAACAGGAAUGUCCCUGAUUUGAGCUCCAUGUAAAGCAAGGUCAUGGCUUGUGAUGAACCUCGAUUUCCCCGUGACAGGGUCUGUACAACCUUGUGCUAAUGUGCAACACUGCUGCACAGUAGUACAGUGUUCACUACCCUAAGUGAAAUAAAUGUUCCCAGUUCUCUUUCCCUGUCCACUUUGCAAGAAGAUGUUGGGAUAUUAAAAGCCACCUAAAAUGGUGUUUCCCUUAAGAAACUUUCUCAGUGGUCUGCCAUCCGGAUUGUUUGGUUGGGGGGAGGGAGGGACGUAACAGAGUAUCAAGGGAAUAAAGUAAAAGGAAGCAGUGUUAAAACAUUAGCUACAUUAGAAACAUGGAUUUUAAGUCAAUGGAAAAACUCUUAUUGACUUGACUAGGGCCAGGAUUUCACCCAAGAGAACUGUGGCUUUGUUGUGUUUAAGCAUCCAUAGGGAAACAAAGGCAGUAUAUGUAAAGGGCUUGAGUCUUAAGGCCAAUAAAGAUGUUUAGUGGAGUUCUGAGUCUUAGUCCCUAGGGAUGAGGAUGGGUUUUGUUCAGAAGGAUCUGGGGAUAAACUGGGAAUGGAUAAAAGUAGUAAAAAAGGUAAAAAGCCAGUUGGCCCCAGGUGUAAGUCAAUGGAGGUAAGUGGCACUCCAUCAGGAUGGAUCCAACUCAUUUUGUGAUGGGGAUAUAGUCAAAACUCUCUCUUUAACUCCCAGAAAUGCUCCCAGUGCCUUGUUUGCAUUGAAUCAGCUCUUGAAAGGUCAUGAGAUAUGAGAGCCACAUGGAUGCAGAUGGGGAUGGAUGUUUGCUAUUCCUGUUUCUCGUCAGCAAGUCCCUCCUGUCAACUUCCAUCACCAAAAUGCUCAUGUGGUUGGCUCUGCCUGUGUGCUGCAGUGAAGAGGAGCUGCGCCUCUGCUUUCCCUGCCUGUCACUCUGUCUAACGCAUGCUAGGGAUUGUCAGGAGGAUUAUCAUGGGGACUGGCAGGUGCUCGUCACUUUUGUGCAGACAGGAUUUUAUGGCAGCUACUUUCAUAGUUUUAACACAGAUCUAUGGGCCACACAGACUGUAAAUCUCUUCAACCAGUGCUCCAAUGCUAACCAAAGCAGCCUAUGAAUGAUAGUUAGGGACAAAAACUAUUUUAUUGCAACAGAGAGAAAUGAAUUAGGGAGUGUAACAGAGAAUGGAUGUGUGGCACGACUAAAUAUAUUUUGGGCCAAAACCAUCUAUAAUGACAGCAACACUUCUGCUUGCCUGGGCCACUUAGAAGCAUUGCCCAGCGUGCACUUAAGAUGACAAAUUAGCUCAACCUUCCAGUUUUGUCACACACCCAGUCCCUGUGUAGGGCACAGUGAGUCAGGAAACAUGAAAGAGAUGCUGUCAGCACAGCCAAGAUCUCUACCCCAUGCAGCACACAACCAACUUUGCUCUUGGGUCUUGAUCUCCGCUUCCACCUGGACACAACCUAGGAAAGCGCUGGUUAAAAGUGACUAGAUCCUUCCAGCCCAUCUGUAGCAUCACCAUGGAAGCUUAUCCUCAGGUCAGGAGUCCUGCUGAUUGCAGGCAAGGGCACAGAGUUUGGUGCAAGAUACAUUUUAAUGCUUUUAGGAGUCUGAGUGUAAGAUGAAUCCUUCAGUAAACAAAUUUCCCAAGGCAAUAAGAGCUCAGGCUCAGAUUGCAUCAUUGGAGAUUCUCAGCCAAAGGCAUUUAUCCUAACAAUACUUUCCACACCUCCAUUAAUUGCCAAUAACUUUACAAGCCAAGAGAAGCUGCUACAGAUCCUAUGUGGGGUUGAGUAAGUCUUUCUAGCCUUCUUCAUCAGUUUCCCCAACGGACAGUCAUACUUGCCUUUUUGUGAAGCGCCUCGUUAUCUUUGGGAGUAGACUGAGCAUGUCACCACUGUUGCAAUAUUUCCUUUUUCUCCUAAUGCAAUUGGAGACUUGCAAUUACAUGACUCAAUUUGUUGUUAAAGUAGAUUUUGGGCAUCCUGGUUAAAGAGAAAAGCAAUGCAAUACCCGAAGGGCUCCAGAAAAAAAGAAGGCAAAUAAAAAAAAAUCUGAUAUAUAUUGAUCUGUAUAACAUCUUAUGAUGAUUAUAGCUAACCUUGAUUUUCAAAUGUUUGGCAUAGCAAUGCUGCAAUAUCGCAGGCAGGUGCCUUGGGAACCCUCGGUCUUUCAAGGCAUUUUGUAGCAGAUAAUUUUCUUGAGAGCCAUGCAACAAAGUUGAGAGUGGGGCUCGCCAGCUGCUCUGGUCAUGGAGAGUUUCCACAUCUUGCCAGUUGAAUUUCUCUCCAAAAAGAGCAGCUCAGCCUGCCUAAACUGGCUGGCACACGGGUGAAAACCAAGGCAAGCUGGAAAUGUGGUUUCCUUCCAUUGAUUGCUCUAUCCCUGGUGGUUCAUGAGCAGGAGAGCAAGGAGCCUGGGGAGAAAAGGGAAGAUGAGUCCUUAAUUCCAUUGGCUCCAGAAGAAAACAUUCCCUCUAGUGUUGAUCUGUUGUGUGUGGCUGAGUUUUCCUCAAACUGCCUCUCUCUGCUGUGUUAUACUAGCUGUCCAUGUCAGAAGGAGCAGGAUUAAAUGGAGUGAAAGGACUGUGUUUAUUCCCCUUAUAGUCUUUAUGGAGCAACAUAUCAUCUACAAGGGAACUUCUCUGUGCUACGUAGAGAACAUAGAGUGCAAGGAAGUUCUGUGUUCAUGAGCCGCAGUUGGCGAGGUGCAUCCAUGGAUUAGGAUGAGCAGAACCACUGUGCAUCUGCUCCCUCUCCCUUAUGCUAUAAUUACUCAGCCAGAGAGAAAGUGUUCUAGAGAGCACCCAUGCUUAGCCUGAACAAGGAGGCACCUACACCCAGAGUCAGAGGAAGUGCUUUGCAUUAACACAGUUAUUGGUUCAAUACAGUAGGCUCCUUCCUUCCCCAUAACUGAUGUGAUGGAGAGGGUGGGGACUGAGUAUCUUUGGGGGAAAGGGAGCUAGCUGCUAGGCCAAAGUUUAGGUGAUGGCUGGACUCAACCAUGGAUAUAAGUUUAAUGAACCUCAUCCUAAUCCUUACGUCCCCCUUCAUCAGGACAAAAAAAAAGAAGAUAAAACAGGGCAAGGUGAGCAGCACCAGCUCCAAAGAUGCCCCUAGCCAACAACACAUAGUGAUAUGAGGGUCAGGAUUCCUUUAUUUACAAGAAAGGGGAGUGUAAAGAGCUUUUGUGUUGUGUACGUUAUACAAGGGAAAUCCAGUGCCCAAGCACCAGAGCCAGCCCUGGCUCAGGGCUAGAUCUUAUAAGGUCCCCAUUAUAAUGAAUCCUGAGUAGUUUCUGGGUCUGCAUGAGGAAGGGAAUGGAAGCUGAUGAACAAUUUGGGGUUGGGCUUUCUUUGUGAACAGUGUAAGAGUGAGAACAAAGGCUUAAUUCUGAUGCCACUUACACCAGGGUAAAUCAGGAGUAACUGUGUUGAAGCCAAUGGACUUCAACUGAUGUGAAAUCAGCAUGAGUGAAAUCAGAAUCCAGCCCCAAGCCCCAAGCAAACCCAGGUGGGAAAUCUUGUUUCUCUGUAAGAGCACUGGGAUGUGAUCCUGACAUCUUCGCAGGAGAACAAAGCAAGUGAACAGAAUGUAGUAGUAUAUACUGUGCAUGUAAUGACUGGGUGGGCCUAGGCCGUAUCUAACAUAUAAAGGUGUUUAAUUUAUACACAUGCUCUGGAGGCAUUUUGGGGGGGGGUGUAGUGCAGCUCUGAGAUCCAUAGUAAUUAAAAGUUCCUGGAGCAUCAUGCGUAUCAACGUCCUG